GACGAACGCUGGCGGCGUGCUUAACACAUGCAAGUCGAACGGAAAGGCCCUGCUUUUGUGUGGUGCUCGAGUGGCGAACGGGUGAGUAACACGUGAGUAACCUGCCCUUGACUUUGGGAUAUCUUCAGGAAACUGGGGCUAAUACCGGAUAGGAGCUCCUGCUGCAUGGUGGGGGUUGGAAAGUUUCGGCGGUUGGGGAUGGACUCGCGGCUUAUCAGCUUGUUGGUGGGGUAGUGGCUUACCAAGGCUUUGACGGGUAGCCGGCCUGAGAGGGUAAGCGGCCACAUUGGGACUGAGAUACGGCCCAGACUCCUACGGGAGGCAGCAGUGGGGAAGAUUGCACAAUGGGCGGAAGCCUGAUGCAGCAACGCCGCGUGCGGGAUGACGGCCUUGGGGUUGUAAAGCGCUGUCGCCUGUGACGAAGCGUGAGUGACGGUAAUGGGUAAAGAAGCACCGGCUAACUACGUG
rnacentral:rRNA from 1 species